rnacentral:rRNA from 1 species
AUUGAACGCUGGCGGCAUGCUUUACACAUGCAAGUCGAACGGUAACAGGCCGCAAGGUGCUGACGAGUGGCGAACGGGUGAGUAAUGCAUCGGAACGUGCCCAGUCGUGGGGGAUAACGCAGCGAAAGCUGUGCUAAUACCGCAUACGAUCUAUGGAUGAAAGCGGGGGACCGUAAGGCCUCGCGCGAUUGGAGCGGCCGAUGUCAGAUUAGGUAGUUGGUGGGGUAAAGGCUCACCAAGCCAACGAUCUGUAGCUGGUCUGAGAGGACGACCAGCCACACUGGGACUGAGACACGGCCCAGACUCCUACGGGAGGCAGCAGUGGGGAAUUUUGGACAAUGGGCGCAAGCCUGAUCCAGCAAUGCCGCGUGCAGGAAGAAGGCCUUCGGGUUGUAAGCUGCUUUUGUACGGAACGAAAAGGUUUGGGUUAAUACCCUGGGCCGAUGACGGUACCGUAAGAAUAAGCACCGGCUAACUACGUGCCAGCCGCCGCGGUAACAC